CAGCCGGUCGGAUUCAUCUUCCCAGUCCCUCAAAACUAGCGCUGUUACUGUAGGAUCUGGACAGAGAGGCUGAGGAUCAGAAUCACAUUUUCUCCCACCGGCAGUUUGUUGAGAGCAGGGACGGCUCAGGAACAACCCUGAGUGACAGAAAGUGUUGGCCACUGGGUGUCACUAGUGUUCCACAGGAAAGUAACCCAAAGGCAUUGGUAUGGCACCCCAAAAUGAGCCACCUUCUGGAAUGUGCUAGCGGGGAUAGAAAUAGUUGCAGUAUAUCCGCUGGAAAAGAAAAAGAAUGAAAGAAAAUAUAAAUCUUUAGGCUGCUGAUGAUAAAGAACAAUCUUUAUUUGUUCCUCUCAUCAGCAUAAGGACUGUACCAGAUGUUUCAGACUGUGUAUUUCCCUCUCUCCACCACCGUCAAACCUCCUGGACUGCUUACCAUGCUCUAUUGCAGACCCAAGAAGUACUGUAGUGAUGGACAAGAAUGGAGGUUUGCAUCAUCUUGUUAUAUCGUUGUCAUUUCCAGCUACCUAUUAGGUUUAUUUCUUCAGGAUUAUUUUUCUGGAAAUGCAGUUAUUACAAGCUUUUGCCUCUUCUGGGACAAAGAAAAAAUGGCUCCUUUGUGCAACCACCUCCUUACGUCCUUCAAUAGCGUUACAGCAUGUGCAAUACCAUUGCAGUUCAUUGCACAAAUGACAUUGUGAUUUGUGAAGACCCUUCGCUGGCUUUCUGAAUGCAACACUAGCCCGAGGCAUGACCGCUUCCCCGCACUGCAAGAGGAUGUAAGCUGAUCCUGUCCGGGGGAGGAUGGAGCUCAUGUGAAAAGAGGACUUCAUUGAAAAGAGCUUCUGAGGGGAUUGACUCAAGCGAGCGACUCUUCUUUAUGUAAAGAAAACUGCCCGCGUGCAGGCAGCGUAAGAAUAGAUGGAGACCUGUCAUAAAAUGAUACAUAGGCAGCUAAGUGAAGCUCAAGCAUUCAUAAAGAAACAAUGUUAUCAAAGAUGAAUAGCUUGGAAACUGCUUUUAGGAACAUUUACACAGGGCUUCACCUCCUGGCAACACAGAAACUUCAACGCCGUUAAACCGAGCUGACUCAGAGUCGUGCGGGAGAGUUUUACAGAAAGCUUCCCCCUCCCCGACAGGGUCUACACAAAGGUGGUGGGGGGGGGGGUGGGAUAACACAAAGAAGUCAUUCCAA
rnacentral:lncRNA from 1 species